rnacentral:sRNA from 1 species
AAAGCCGACGUGGAGGUGAUGCGCGGGAGCACAGAUCCGGGGCAGUGCGCUGCGCAGAGGCGCGCGGCGAAGCCGAGUGGGCGCGGGAGUGACGUCACGGCGCGCGACGUGGAGGCGGGGUCGGGCCUGGGUCCGACGGUAGUGGGUAGCGGGUCUCGGGUUGCGGCUUGCAGGUUGCAAGCCGCAGGCCCCAGGCAACUGCCUUCCCGGCGCCAUGUUCGGCUCCAGUCGUGGAGGCGUGCGCGGCGGGCAGGACCAGUUCAACUGGGAGGACGUGAAGACUGACAAGCAGCGGGAGAACUACCUGGGUGGGUGCGCGCGGUGGGCGGGCUCCGGGCUCCGGGAUCCCGGGUGGGCGCUGGACUCACAGCGUCUACGUCCGCAGGCAACUCGCUGAUGGCGCCGGUAGGCCGCUGGCAGAAGGGCCGCGACCUCACCUGGUACGCCAAGGGCCGGGCGCCAUGCGCGGGCCCGAGCCGCGAGGAGGAACUGGCAGCCGUGCGGGAGGCGGAGCGAGAGGCGCUGCUGGCCGCCCUUGGCUACAAGAACGUGAAGAAGCAGCCCACGGGCCUGAGCAAGGAGGACUUCGCGGAGGUCUGCAAGCGGGAAGGAGGCGACCCCGAGGAGAAGGGCGUGGACCGGCUGCUGGGGCUGGGGAGCGCCAGGUGCGGGCGGGUUUCCAGGGGAGGGCAGCACUGGGCUCGAUUGCUCGGGUGAGGCGGACCCCUGCCGUACUGUCUUCAUCGCCAUGUCCCUGCAGUGGCUCCGUGGGCCGCGUGGCGAUGUCCCGAGAGGACAAGGAGGCCGCCAAACUGGGGCUGUCUGUAUUCACGGUAAUCCCCCGCCCCGCCUGACCGCAGCAGGGGCCAACAGGGGUGGGGCGGGGGCACUAAACGGAGCUCCCCGGGGCGCUGCGGGGCGUGGUGUGGGGCCGGUCCGCAGACUCCUCCCCAGAGCUCGCUUCUUCCGCAGCAUCACCGCGUAGAGAGCGGCGGGCCCGGGACCUCGGCAGCCUCGGCCAGGAGGAAGCCGCGGGCGGAGGAUCAGACGGAAAGCAGGUGAGGCUGUGCCAACUGGGCUAGCUGUGCCCCGGGGUGGGGGGUCUCGGGAGGACCGGAGCGGCUCCCACUCGGGCAGGUGGCAGCUUCUCUUGGCGCACCGGCCCGGCCGGUGGCCUGCCCUACUUUACUUCCUGUCCCACUUACUCCUAGGUUUUUCUCUAGGGGAGUUUCUCGGGUCACCCUUGAAGAGAGGUCCUAAGUACUGGCAGUGGUCGGGGGCUGUGCCGUGGGGGGGCACUCAGGACCUGGGGCGGGGCCUUUUCCUGCCGUGGGUGGCACCUCCAGGGCUUCUCCUGGGUGGUGAGCCUGGGCUUGACCCCAAGAGUGGCCUGGUGGGUGCAGGUAGGAAGGUGUCAACCUGCCAAGGGCACGGCUGGGGUGGGGCAGGGGCGUGCUGUGGAGAUGGGGAUAUUGCAUCUGUUUCUAACCCACGUAGCCACUGGCCACGUGACUACGUAACUGAGGAGUGGAAUUUGUAGUUUGAUUUAACUGAUUUAAAGACGCAUUUGUGGGUGGUGGCUUCAUCUCCUGGAUGGGGCCUGCUUGUGUUCACUCUCUUGGCUUGCAAGACUAGGGUCUGAGGCACACCUUGUAUCCUCCUUGUAGUUGUGAGAGCCACAGGAAAAGCAAGAAGGAGAAGAAGAAAAAGAAAAAGAGGAAACACAAGAAAGAGAAGAAGAAGAAAGACAAAGAGCACAGGCGGCCAGCUGAGGCCACCUCCUCUCCCACAUCUCCUGAGAGGCCCAGGCACCACCACCAUGACUCCGACUCCAACUCCCCCUGCUGUAAGAGGAGGAAGCGGGGACACAGUGGGGACAGGAGGAGCCCGUCUCGCAGGUGGCAUGACAGAGGCUCUGAGGCCUGAUGGCUGGACCCUGCUCACUGCUAUUGUGGGACCCUGAACCCUCCCUUCACCUUGUUUGCCUCCUGCCUCAGAAGCUCCUCGGGUGUGGGUGAAGCCCGAGGCUGCUCCUGUGGAAAUGGCUCUGGGCAUCAGCCUGUGGGGCUAAAGACUUGACAGCUAGCUCUGGAGCAGCCGGCUUCCUGGAAAACCUCCAGGUUUCGCAUACCAGGGAUGGCCCCUGGCUUGGCCUGCGAAGGUGAACCUGCCCAGAUUUAUUAGUAGAGGCUGGACUCCCUCUGUGUCCUGCCCAUGGUUGCAGCAGCCAUGGGCCUAUGAGCGGUCUAACUGUGGCCAAGUAUGGUGACCUCUAUUUUUCUUUAUAUUGACUCUUUGUAUUUCAAUAAAUAUAUUUUAAAAGGAAGGUAU